GCCUGCCAAGUACUGUAUUCAUCAUGCCCUCAAGAAAAGUUAACUCUGUCAUAAAAUUCAAUUGAAAAUGCCAGGAUGAAUACUUUUUUUUAUUGUAAUCAUGUCAUCUAUUUUCUCUGCCACAUUUUUCCUUGUUCCAUCUCCUUUCAUAACAUCACCUACUAGAGACUAAAUAUAAACUACCCACCAAACUGAAACAGUUGGUGACAAGAAGUGACACCCUGCAGGCUGCUCGGAUCUAGAUGCUCCAGCAUUAAUCUGGUAACUGGCAGGUCAUGCAACUGACAGAACAAAUUCAUCAUAUGGUGAAGCUGGGAGAGGGACCGAGCCCAGGAGCCCACUGCAAGCACUGGGAACAGGAGGGGACCUCGGCCAGCUUGGGCAAACCACCUCCCCAGGCACUGCCUGAUGAAUAUGGUUCCAACAUUUACCAGUUCUGAUGGUACUUGUAACAACAACAAGUUAAAGAAAUCAGUUUUA